AUUGAACGCUGGCGGCAUGCCUUACACAUGCAAGUCGAACGGUAACAGGUCUUCGGAUGCUGUCGAGUGGCGAACGGGUGAGUAAUACAUCGGAACGUGCCUAGUAGUGGGGGAUAACUACUCGAAAGAGUGGCUAAUACCGCAUGAGAUCUACGGAUGAAAGCAGGGGAUCGCAAGACCUUGUGCUACUAGAGCGGCCGAUGGCAGAUUAGGUAGUUGGUGGGAUAAAAGCUUACCAAACCGACGAUCUGUAGCUGGUCUGAGAGGACGAUCAGCCACACUGGGACUGGGACACGGCCCAGACUCCUACGGGAGGCAGCAGUGGGGAAUUUUGGACAAUGGGCGCAAGCCUGAUCCAGCAAUGCCGCGUGCAGGAUGAAGGCCUGCGGGUUGUAAACUGCUUUUGUACGGAACGAAAAGCCCUGGGUUAAUACCCUGGGGUCAUGACGGUACCGUAAGAAUAAGCACCGGCUAACUACGUGCCAGCCGCCGCCGUAAAAC
rnacentral:rRNA from 1 species